AGUGAACGCUGGCGGUAGGCCUAGCACAUGCAAGUCGAACGGCAGCACAGUAAGAGCUUGCUCUUACGGGUGGCGAGUGGCGGACGGGUGAGGAAUACAUCGGAAUCUACUUUUUCGUGGGUGAUAACGUAGGGAAACUUACGCUAAUACCGCAUACGACCUACGGGUGAAAGCAGGAGAUCUUCGGACCUUGCGCGAUUGAAUGAGCCGAUGUCGGAUUAGCUAGUUGGCGGGGUAAAGUCCCACCAAGGCGACGAUCCGUAGCUGGUCUGAGAGGAUGAUCACCCACACUGGAACUGAGACACGGUCCAGACUCCUACGGGAGGCAGCAGUGGGGAAUAUUGGACAAUGGGCGCAAGCCUGAUCCAGCCAUACCGCGUGGGUGAAGAAGGCCUUCGGGUUGUAAAGCCCUUUUGUUGGGAAAGAAAAGCAGCAGGUUAAUACCCCGCUGUUCUGACGGUACCCAAAGAAUAAGCACCGGCUAACUUCGUG
rnacentral:rRNA from 1 species